rnacentral:misc_RNA from 1 species
AUUUGGACUGUCAGGCUUCCCACUGCAAGCAAAUUUAACUUUAUUAAUGGACAUCAUAAAUCAAGGAAUCAGAUGCAAAGAGAGACGUCAAUAACUAGGUAACUGGGCAGUAACAAAUCCAAAUUCCAAAAUGUGCUAACCUAGGUAUUUUUAUGGCUUUAUAUAGUUUCACGAGUAAGUAUGUCAUCAAAAGAAAUUCAAUGAAUUGUUUGAUUAUUCCUGAAAAUGUCUAGUUCAUAAUCUGAUUAAGAACUUCAUUUCCUAGAAGUUAGAUGCGGUCCUUCCAAAAGAAAUUAAAAUAAAAAAUAA